UACGAAGGGGGCUAGCGUUGUUCGGAAUUACUGGGCGUAAAGCGUGCGCAGGCGGCUUCUCAAGUCAGGGGUGAAAGCCCAGAGCUCAACUCUGGAAUUGCCUUUGAGACUGAGUGGCUUGAGUACGAGAGAGGUGAGUGGAAUUCCCAGUGUAGAGGUGAAAUUCGUAGAUAUUGGGAAGAACACCGGUGGCGAAGGCGGCUAUCUGGACGGUUUCUGACGCUAAGACGCGAAAGCGUGGGGAGCAAACAGGG
rnacentral:rRNA from 1 species